rnacentral:rRNA from 1 species
AGCGAACGCUGGCGGCAGGCUUAACACAUGCAAGUCGAACGCCCGUAGCAAUACGGGAGUGGCAGACGGGUGAGUAACGCGUGGGAACGUGCCCUUCGGUUCGGAAUAACCCAGGGAAACUUGGGCUAAUACCGGAUACGUCCCCCCCUUUAGGGAGAAAGAUUUAUUGCCGAAGGAUCGGCCCGCGUCCGAUUAGCUAGUUGGUGGGGUAAUGGCUCACCAAGGCGACGAUCGGUAGCUGGUCUAAGAGGAUGANCAGCCACACUGGGACUGAGACACGGUCCAGACUCCUACGGGAGGCAGCAGUGGGGAAUCUUGCGCAAUGGACGAAGUCUGACGCAGCCACGCCGCGUGAGUGAAGAAGGCC